rnacentral:rRNA from 1 species
CAAGUCGAGCGCGUGUAGCAAUACACGAGCGGCGCACGGGUGAGUAACGCGUGGAUAUCUGCCUUUUGGUUCGGAAUAACCCCGGGAAACUGGGGCUAAUACCGGAUGGUUCCUACGGGAUAAAGAUUUAUCGCCAAAAGAUGAGUCCGCGUCCGAUUAGCUAGUUGGUGAGGUAACGGCUCACCAAGGCGACGAUCGGUAGCUGGUCUGAGAGGACGAUCAGCCACACUGGGACUGAGACACGGCCCAGACUCCUACGGGAGGCAGCAGUGGGGAAUAUUGGACAAUGGGGGCAACCCUGAUCCAGCCAUGCCGCGUGAGUGAUGAAGGCCUUCGGGUUGUAAAGCUCUUUUGGCGGGGACGAUGAUGACGGUACCCGCAGAAUAAGCCCCGGCUAACUUCGUGCCAGCAGCCGCGGUAAGACGAAGGGGGCUAGCGUNGUUCGGAAUUACUGGGCGUAAAGCGCGUGUAGGCGGUUGUCCAAGUUGGAUGUGAAAGCCUUGAGCUCAACUCAAGAAAUGCAUUCAGGACUGGAUGACUA